AGUGAACGCUGGCGGUAGGCCUAACACAUGCCAGUCGAACGGCAGCACAGUAAGAGCUUGCUCUUACGGGUGGCGAGUGGCGGACGGGUGAGGAAUACAUCGGAAUCUACUUUUUCGUGGGGGAUAACGUAGUGAAACUUACGCUAAUACCGCAUACGACCUACGUGUGAAAGCAGGGGAUCUUCGGACCUUGCGCGAUUGAAUGAGCCGAUGUCGGAUUAGCUAGUUGGCGGGGUAAAGGCCCACCAAGGCGACGAUCUGUAGCUGGUCUGAGAGGAUGGUCAGCCACAAUGGAACUGAGACACGGUCCAGAAUCCUACGGGAGGCAGCAGUGGGGAAUAUUGGAGAAUGGGGGCAAGCAUGAUCAAGCCAUACCGCGUGGGUGAAGAAGGCCUUCGGGUUGUAAAGCCCUUUUGUUGGGAAAGAAAAGCAGCAGGUUAAUACCCCGCUGUUCUGACGGUACCCAAAGAAUAAGCACCGGCUAACUUCGUG
rnacentral:rRNA from 1 species